rnacentral:rRNA from 1 species
GACGAACGCUGGCGGCGUGCCUAACACAUGCAAGUCGAACGGAGAUUUCAGCAAUGAGAUCUUAGUGGCGAACGGGUGAGUAACGCGUAGACAACCUACCGCUUAGUUGGGGACAACACUGGGAAACUAGUGCUAAUACCGAAUGUUGUAUUUUGAGCGCAUGUUUAAGAUACUAAAGAUGGCCUCUAUAUAUAAGCUAUCGCUAAGUGAUGGGUCUGCGUCUGAUUAGCUAGUUGGUGAGGUAAUGGCUCACCAAGGCGACGAUCAGUAGCCGGUCUGAGAGGAUGAACGGCCACACUGGGACUGAGACACGGCCCAGACUCCUACGGGAGGCAGCAGUGGGGAAUCUUCCGCAAUGGACGCAAGUCUGACGGAGCAACGCCGCGUGAGUGAAGAAGGUUUUCGGAUCGUAAAACUCUGUUUUCAGGGACGAAUGUGCGGUAUGUGAAUAAUGUAUUGUAAUGACGGUACCUGAGUAGAAAGCCACGGCUAACUACGUGCCAGCCGCCGCAGUAAAAC